UACGGAGGGUGCGAGCGUUGUCCGGAAUCACUGGGCGUAAAGGGCGCGUAGGCGGCUGGAGAAGUCGGUGGUGAAAGCCCAGGGCUCAACUCUGGGUCGGCCACCGAGACUCUUCGGCUCGAGUUUGGUAGAGGCAGAUGGAAUUCCGGGUGUAGCGGUGGAAUGCGUAGAGAUCCGGAAGAACACCGGUGGCGAAGGCGGUCUGCUGGGCCAAGACUGACGCUGAGGCGCGACAGCGUGGGGAGCAAACAGG
rnacentral:rRNA from 1 species